CCCCGUACGAGCGGCGGACGGGUGGAGUAACACGUGGACAAUACCUGCCCCCCGGCCCCGGGGACGUAGCCCAGGGAAACCUGGAUUAAUACCGGAUGAGACGGGACCCGCGAUGGCGGGAUCCGGGAAAGGCGCUGCGGCGCCGCCGGGGGAGUGAGUCUGCGUCCCAUUAGCUAGACGGCGGGUAACGGCCCACCGUGGCGACGAUGGGUAGCCGGCCUGAGAGGGUGGACGGCCACAUUGGAACUGAGACACGGUCCAGACUCCUACGGGAGGCAGCAGCUAAGAAUCUUCCGCAAUGGGCGGAAGCCUGACGGAGCGACGCCCGCGUGAACGAAGAAGGCCGUGAGGUUGUAAAGUUCUUUUCGGGAGGGGGAACAACCGUGGCAGGGAAUGGCCGCGGGAUGACGUGAAUCCCGGAAUAAGCCCCGGCUAACUACGUGCCAGCAGCCGC
rnacentral:rRNA from 1 species